rnacentral:rRNA from 1 species
CCUACGGGAGGCAGCAGUGGGGAAUUUUGCACAAUGGGCGCAAGCCUGAUGCAGCAACGCCGCGUGAAUGAAGAAGGCCCUUGGGUCGUAAAGUUCUUUCGGCUGGGAAGCAGGGACUUAGUGAAAAUAUUGCUAAGUCUUGACGGUACCAGAAGAAGAAGCACCGGCUAACUCCGUGCCAGCAGCCGCGGUAAUACGGAGGGUGCAAGCGUUGUUCGGAAUGACUGGGCGUAAAGAGCACGUAGGCGGGUUAAUAAGUCGAUUGUGAAAGCCCAAAGCUUAACUUUGGAAUUGCAGUCGAAACUGUUAAUCUUGAAUACCUGAGAGGGUGGGAGAAUUCCUGGUGUAGAUGUGAAAUUCGUAGAUAUCAGGAGGAAUAUCUGAGGCGAAGGCGCCUGCCUGGCAGAGUAUUGACGCUGAGGUGCGAAAGCGUGGGUAGCAAACAGGAUUAGAUACCCUGGUAGUCCACGCCGUAAACGAUGGAUACUAGGUGUUCGGAGUGUUAACCCUCUGAGUACCGGAGCUAACGCAUUAAGUAUCCCGCCUGGGGAGUACGGUCGCAAGGCUAAAACUCAAAGGAAUUGACGGGGGCCCGCACAAGCGGUGGAGUAUGUGGUUUAAUUUCGAAGCAACGCGAAGAACCUUACCUGGACUUAACAUUCAGUGCCAACUCUAGAGAUAGAGUGUUCUCUUCGGAGACGCUGGGAUAGGUGCUGCAUGGCUGUCGUCAGCUCGUGUCGUAAGAUGUUGGGUUAAGUCCCGCAACGAGCGCAACCCUUGCCCUUAGUUGCUACCAUUAAGUUGGGCACUCUGAGGGGACUGUCGGUGUUAAACCGGAGGAAGGCGGGGAUGACGUCAAGUCCUCAUGGCCCUUACGUCCAGGGCUACACACGUACUACAAUGGCAGAAACAAACUGUUGCGAAACCGUGAGGUGAAGCUAAUCAGUAAAACACUGUCGCAGUCCGGAUUGAAGUCUGCAACUCGACUUCAUGAAGCUGGAAUCGCUAGUAAUCGCAGAUCAGCACGCUGCGGUGAAUACGUUCCCGGGCCUUGUACACACCGCCCGUCACACCACGAGAGUGGUCAUAACCAGAAGCACGUGAGCUAACUUCGGAGGCAGCGUACCAAGGUCGCGGCCGCGAUUGGGGUGAAGUCGUAACAAGGUAACC